rnacentral:lncRNA from 1 species
UUUCCCAGUGUCUCCGACCAGUGCCCACCAGUGGCUUCUCCCUAUUACCUGUCCCGCUCUGGUGUCCCCCGUGCCCCCCAGUCCCCUAGUGUCCCCAUUGCCCCCCCAGUGUGCCCCAGUGCUCUCCCAGUUACCUCCUGGUAUCUCCCCCUGUCCCAGUAGCCCCAGUGUCCCCAGUCACCCAUCCCAGCGCUCCCAGUUCCCCCCAGCGGGUGGGGCCGGCCAUAGUUUAUUGUGUAUUGUAAAUUUAUUUGUGUACUGUAAAUUUAUUGUCCAUUUCCAGUAUAAAAACAUUAAAAACUCAAAGCACAGGAAAUUCAGUGUCCCUGAGUGUUCCCUCCCCCCGCCCCUCCCGGGGUCCCCCAGUGUCCCCAAGUGUCCCCAGCUGGGGGCUGUGCUGUCCCACGUGUCCCUGUCACGUGUCCCCCUGUGGUGACAUCACUGCGUCGCUGUGUGAUGUCACCCUGACGUGUCCCCUCCAUUAUGACAUCACAUGCCGCUGGCGUGACACACGUGACGUCACGUGUCCCUCUCUCAUUGUUGUGUCACGAGGUGACGUGUCCUCUCCAUGUCCUCGUGUCCCGGGGUCUCCGUGUGACAUCAUCAUGAUGUGUUGCAUCCCCUCUGCGAUGACGUCACUGCGUCUCCGGGCUGAGUCCCUCUGCCACGUCCCUUCCGUGUCGAUGUGUGACAGGGUGACAUGUCCCCUCUGUGUCCUCGUGUUCAGGGAUCUCCGUGUGACGUCACUGUGACACAUCACGUCCCCUCUGAGAUGACAUCACUGCGUCUCUGCGUGACAUCACCAUGACGCGUUCCCUCCGGCGUGACAUUAGGGCAUGUCAGUGUAACACGUCCCUUCUGUCGUGUCCCCUCCGUGACAUCACGUGUGACAUCACCGUGACACACCUCCCCUUUGUCAUGAUGUCAUUUGUCCCUUCCCUGUGCUGUCACAGCAUCGUGUCCCCUCCAUGACAUCACGUGUCCCUUCCCUGUGGCGUCACCGUGUUGUGUCCCCCAACAAUGACGUCACUGCCCCGUGACAUCACCGUGACGUCACCAGCCUCCAUUUAGGAGCAGAUGAUGUAGG